CCUCUCCCGGGGUCACACCCGGAGAGUUUCCGUUAUUCUACCAGUCUCGGCUACGGGAGGGAGAGUCAAGCAGGGGCCCACCCGUUCCAUUCCUAGCUUGGGCAGUGGCUAGCAAGUGGAAGUCAAUCUGCUACAAGU